AGCGAGGCAAACACAGAAAAACACCGCCUCUGGCUUCCGCAUCAAGAGUUCCUGUUCUCAAGCCACAAUGAAAGCUAAAGUCAGAUGUUAUUCUGAAUCAUCUCAGUCUGUGUGAGGAUGAGGGUGAAUCUCUACAGCUGCCUGUUAGCCUUUGUUCUGGGCUCUAAUGUCACUGCAGGUUUAAUCCGUGAAGUAGUUGCAGAGAAGCAGAUGGUC